rnacentral:rRNA from 1 species
AUGCAUGUUAUUGAAUAUAAAGAAAAGACGAACAGCUCAGUAACUCUUAUUUUAUUUGAUGUAUUAGGAUUAUAACUAUGUUAAAUUAUAGAUAACAAUAAUACAAUAAGAAUAAGAUCUAUCAGUUAGUUGUUAAGGUAAUGGCUUAACAAGACUAUGACGGAUAACGGUAUUACUUUGUAAUAUUCCGGAGAAGGAGCCUGAGAGAUUGCUACUAAGUCUAAGGAUUGCAGCAGGGGCGAAACUUGACCUAUGAUAUGAUAUUGAGGCAGUUAUGAGUAGUAUUUUUAAUUAUUGUAGUAUUGUAAGUAUAUACUACAAGAUAAAUCGGAGGGCAAAUCGAGUGCCAGCAGCCGCGGUAAUACUUGUUCCGAUAGUGUGUAUGAUGAUUGAUGCAGUUAAAAAGUCUGUAGUUUAUGAUUAAUAAGCAUUGUGAGGUAUAUUGUAUGGUUAGGAGAGAGAUGAAAUGUGAUAACCCUAACUGGAUGAACAGAAGCGAAAGCUAUAUACUUAAAUGUAUUAUUAGAACAAGGACGUAAGCUAGAGGAUCGAAGAUGAUUAGAUACCAUUGUAGUUCUAGCAGUAAACUAUGUUAAAUCAUAGAUACAUUUUAAUAUGUAUUUAUGUAAAGAAAUUAAGAUUAUAUUGACUCUGGGGAUAGUAUGAUCGCAAGAUUGAAAAUUAAAGAAAUUGACGGAAGAAUACCACAAGGAGUGGAUUGUGCGGCUUA